rnacentral:rRNA from 1 species
UACGAACUGUGCGAACGUUAUUCGGAAUCACUGGGCUUACAGGGUGCGUAGGCGGCUUGUUAAGUAGGGUGUGAAAGCCCCCGGCUCAACCGGGGAAUUGCGCCCUAAACUGGCGAGCUGGAGUGAGAUAGGGGUGUGUGGAACUUCCGGUGGAGCGGUGAAAUGUGUUGAUAUCGUAAGGAAGGCCGGUGGCGAAAGCGAGCCUCUGGACAGUUACUGACGCUGAUGCACGAAGGCCAGGGGAGCAAACGGG